AAGCCAGCCAAUGAAUUGGCUUACCUGAAUGCCUGCAGGAACUUAGGAAAAGCUGGUGGUAGUAAACCAUGUUACCAGCCUUAAAGAUAUUGAAGUCAUUUAAGGUCCCUGAAAAUGGCUAUAAGA
ensembl:snoRNA